rnacentral:rRNA from 1 species
AAGCUCGUAGUUGAAUUUCGGGGCUAGUAGGUUGGUCAUACCUCUGGUAUGUACUGGUCUCACUGAUUCCUCCUUCCUUAUGAACCGUAAUGCCAUUAAUUUGGUGUUGCGGGGAAUUUGGACUGUUACUUUGAAAAAAUUAGAGUGUUUAAAGCAAGCUAACGCUUGAAUACAUUAGCAUGGAAUAAUGAGAUAGGACGUUCGAUCUUAUUUUGUUGGUUUCUUAGGAUUGACGUAAUGAUUAAUAGGGAUAGUUGGG